GGCAACCCUGACGGAGCAACGCCGCGUGCGGGAAGACGGCCUGUGGGUUGUAAACCGCUUUUCUCAGGGAAGAAGUUCUGACGGUACCUGAGGAAUCAGCAUCGGCUAACUCCGUGCCAGCAGCCGCGGUAAGACGGAGGAUGCAAGCGUUAUCCGGAAUUAUUGGGCGUAAAGCGUCCGCAGGUGGCGAUUCAAGUCUGCUGUCAAAGCACGGGGCUUAACUCCGUUAAGGCAGUGGAAACUGAAGCGCUAGAGUGCGGUAGGGGUAGAGGGAAUUCCCGGUGUAGCGGUGAAAUGCGUAGAGAUCGGGAAGAACAUCGGUGGCGAAAGCGCUCUACUGGACGGCAACUGACACUCAGGGACGAAAGCUAGGGGAGCG
rnacentral:rRNA from 1 species